rfam:Nicotiana sylvestris Nsyl_contig211735, whole genome shotgun sequence.
AUUCGUUGGAUGAAUGUGAUGCAUUGGAUUGAUUUCGUUCAAUCCGAGCCCCACAUUCAUUCGGGGUUCGU